UACGGGGGGGGGCAAGCGUUGUUCGGAAUUACUGGGCGUAAAGGGCUCGUAGGCGGCCAACUAAGUCAUACGUGAAAUCCCUCGGCUUAACCGGGGAACUGCGUCUGAUACUGGAUGGCUUGAGUUCGGGAGAGGGAUGCGGAAUUCCAGGUGUAGCGGUGAAAUUCGUAGAUAUUCGCAAGAACACCAGUGGCGAAGGCGGCUCACUGGCCCGAUACUGACGCUGAGGCACGAAAGCGUGGGGAGCAAACAGGG
rnacentral:rRNA from 1 species